rnacentral:pre_miRNA from 1 species
GGGGGGAGGCCGGAUCCUGGGCUGUGUCCCCGGCGCUCAGUGCUCUCGGGCCUGUGCUGUUGGAUUCCCGAUCCCGCCCCGCAGCCCCCU